GCCAAAUGCAAGGCUGUUAUCACCUUCAACCAAGGACUCAGGGGAGGGCGUGUGGUGGAGCUGAAGAAAAUAGUGGAUGAAGCUGUGAAGAGCUGCCCAACAGUCCAGCAUGUCCUGGUGGCUCACAGGACGGACACCAAGGUUCCCAUGGGGAGUCUGGAUAUCCCCCUUGAACAGGUGGGUUUACCUCAUGUGGUGUACAGGGUGAGGAGAGAUUAUUAGUAGAUCUCCUGGGUCUGAGAAUUGUUAGGCUCUCAGUCAAAACUUCUUAGAGGGUCCCCUCCUCCCACAUACUCCUCAUUUGCCUGCCUUUCUAUGCCCUACCAGGGAGUGGAGCCCAGAGUUUUUCAUAUGCUAAGUAGGAGCGCAAACUGCAGGCUGCCCUACCAGCCUCACUCCUUUUGUGGCUUUGCUUUUGAAACUGACAGAGAAUGCCACUUCAGAAUCCUGACUUCAGCUAGGGAAAAGGUAGUGUCCAGAGCCUUAGUGCAUGGGAGAGGCUAGAUGUCUUGACCUGGUGAUGUGCUUCUGUCCCUUUCAGGAGAUGGCCAAGGAGGCCCCUGUUUGCACCCCUGAGAGCAUGAGCAGUGAAGACAUGCUCUUUAUGCUCUACACCUCAGGGAGCACCGGGACACCCAAGGGACUCGUUCAUACACAGGCAGGCUAUCUACUGUAUGCCGCCAUGACGCACAAGGUAGGAGCCCAGGGGAAAAGGGUGAAGGAUGCCUCCUGCCAGGGCUCUGGCAGAGUCUGGGUAGGGCAAGGAGAAUGCACAGUGAUGGUUAGAAUUUCUGCAGCCACAGGCUUGUGGUGCAGAUGUUUGCUCGUAGCAUGCUCUUGAGCAGGCUGCUAUGAGUCGUGAUGUGUGUAAAAGAAAGAAGAACUGGCAUGCAUCUGAGCCUGCUGUGGCCCAGCAGCCCCUGUGCUCUGUUCCAACUCCUUCUUCUGGAGGUGUGGGAAUGGAGCCCUGGCUGGCUGCAUUAUACAAAGAAAGGAUAUGAACAGGGCUGGGGUGGUAGAAUGCACGCUUACGAUGUACAAGGCCCUGGCUUCCAUCUCCAGGUUUGCAGAAAAACAAACUCAAGCCUGUCGCAGGAUAUUUGAUCACGCUGUGACGCCCAAGAUCGUGUUGUGUACUGGAAAAACCUCUUUCAGCCCUUAGCACAUACCUUUAAUCCCUCUGACUGGAAUAGAGACAUGACCUUAGUAUAUACCUUUAAUCCCAAACAAUGAAGGUAAAAUUAGUUUGUGGAAGGAAGGACCAUGUUUGAAAAUAAUGUCUAAUUGAGUAGCAGACAAAGUAACAAAUCAGAAAGAUGUGACAGCAUAGGAUAUGCCCAACUCUCACGAGGAGAGGAAAAAGAGGCUACUUAAGAGAGAGCAGCGCAGAGAAGGAGAGGAGAAGCAGGCAGUUUUGCCAGGACAGCUAGACAGAGUCAGGUUGCAAAGAGAACAAGCUGGAUGCAGGUGAAGACAGAACAAGCCAGGGAAGGAGAAGAAGCCAGAAGAUUAGGACAUAUUGUCAAAGUUAAUUUGAGGCCAAGCAGAGCAAUUUAGGAGAACCCGAGAGAAGCCAGAUUGAAUCAGUCAGUUUGGAGAGUAGUUUGAGCCAGAACUGCUGAGUUGACCAACCAGCCAGGGGUCAGAAAGAACUAGGAAAACAUUCAAGGCUUAGAUAAGAUUGUAGAGAGGCUAGAAGCUCCCAGGACUAGGCCUAGAUUAGCAGAUGGAGGCAGUAAGUCUUAGAUGAUGGCAGUCACCCAGGCAAGUAAAAUUACAUUUUCACAAGCCAAAUCCUGUCUUGGCAUAAAGAGGAAUACAUUCAUGAUUACAUGUUAAGUCUGCACUUUCUUCCACUUAGAAGGUCAUAAUUCAUCCUUUCUGAUUUUUACGUUUUGUUUGGUUGAGUUAUUCUUUUUAGUUUGUUUUUAUUUUAUUUAUUGUUUUUUAUACAAUAUAGUUUGAUUAUAUUUUCUCCUUCCCCAACUUCUCUCAUAGCUUAUCUACCUCCCAAACCAACCAACUUUAUUUUCUCUCUUUUUAACAAAGGCUGAAAACAAAACCGAGAAACACACACACACACACAACCCCACAAACACAAAAAUCAAAACAGACAAAUGUAAGAACAAUAAG
rnacentral:lncRNA from 1 species